CGCCAGACUCCUACGGGAGGCAGCAGUGGGGAAUAUUGCACAAUGGGGGAAACCCUGAUGCAGCGACGCCGCGUGAGUGAGGAAGUAUUUCGGUAUGUAAAGCUCUAUCAGCAGGGAAGAAAAUGACGGUACCUGACUAAGAAGCCCCGGCUAACUACGUGCCAGCAGCCGCGGUAAUACGUAGGGGGCAAGCGUUAUCCGGAUUUACUGGGUGUAAAGGGAGCGUAGACGGCAAUGCAAGCCAGAUGUGAAAGCCCGGGGCUCAACCCCGGGACUGCAUUUGGAACUGUGUAGCUGGAGUGUCGGAGAGGCAGGCGGAAUUCCUAGUGUAGCGGUGAAAUGCGUAGAUAUUAGGAGGAACACCAGUGGCGAAGGCGGCCUGCUGGACGAUGACUGACGUUGAGGCUCGAAAGCGUGGGGAGCAAACAGGAUUAGAUACCCUGGUA
rnacentral:rRNA from 1 species